GACGAACGCUGGCGGCGUGCUUAACACAUGCAAGUCGAACGGAAAGGCCCUGCUUUUGUGGGGUGCUCGAGUGGCGAACGGGUGAGUAACACGUGAGUAACCUGCCCUUGACUUUGGGAUAACUUCAGGAAACUGGGGCUAAUACCGGAUAGGAGCUCCUGCUGCAUGGUGGGGGUUGGAAAGUUUCGGCGGUUGGGGAUGGACUCGCGGCUUAUCAGCUUGUUGGUGGGGUAGUGGCUUACCAAGGCUUUGACGGGUAGCCGGCCUGAGAGGGUGACCGGCCACAUUGGGACUGAGAUACGGCCCAGACUCAUACGGGAGGGAGCAGUGGGGAAUAUUGCACACUGGGCGGAAGCCUGAUGCAGCAACGCCGCGUGCGGGAUGACGGCCUUCGGGUUGUAAACCGCUUUCGCCUGUGACGAAGCGUGAGUGACGGUAAUGGGUAAAGAAGCACCGGCUAACUACGUG
rnacentral:rRNA from 1 species